UACAGAGGUCUCAAGCGUUGUUCGGAUUCAUUGGGCGUAAAGGGUGCGUAGGCGGCGCGGUAAGUCGGGUGUGAAAUCUCGGAGCUUAACUCCGAAACUGCAUUCGAUACUGCCGUGCUUGAGGACUGGAGAGGAGACUGGAAUACUUGGUGUAGCAGUGAAAUGCGUAGAUAUCAAGUGGAACACCAGUGGCGAAGGCGAGUCCCUGGACAGAUCCUGACGCUGAGGCACGAAAGCUAGGGGAGCAAACAGG
rnacentral:rRNA from 1 species